CACUGGAACAACAUUGCAGAGUAGAUGGUGGCUAUUCUGGAAUUAGAGAUGUUUAUAGCAACCAUCAAAGCCAUGAUGAUGUGCAGCAGAGUUUCUUCCUUUCAGAGACCCUCAAGUACUUAUACUUACUGUUUUCUGAAGAUGAUCUUCUUCCAUUUGAACAUUGGAUCUUCAACUCUGAGGCUCACCCUCUACCAGUUCUUCGCAGAGAUGGUGGAAAGAAGGAAGAAAAACACAAAUAAAACAAUGUUAAGUUAAUUUUUGUUUCAUUCCUUAGAAGUUUCUUUCCAGUUUUGAGCACACAAUGCAGUUUUACUUAAAUUCCUGAGAUAUUUUGAGUUUUAAACCAAUUGUUUUGCAGUCUGUUAUAUUUGCCAGUAAAUAUUUAUGAAUGGACCUAAAUUCAUUACAGCAAAACUUUUAAUCUUAUUUUUCCAGCUGAAUCACCCCCUUUUUUUUUCUUUUUUCUUUUUUAAGAAAUCUGACGUCUCUAGAUUUCAUUAAGCUGCAGUGUCAUCUUUGCCAAAUAGAAUAGAGGGGUCUGCAUGUUACUUGUUUCCUAUUAUACUUUUGAUUUGACUGCAAAAUUCUUUCCUCCUCUGUGAGGAGAUGUCUGCUUUAAGCUGUAAUAUUUUGCCAUGUUGCAAAAAGCCAUAAAGAAUUAGUAUAAAGAGCUUUUUUUUCGUUCUAUGUUAAUUUUUUUUUGUCUGUCAUCUGAGACAAAUCUUGUAACUGUGACAGCCUCUUCUGAUGCGGGUCUAUCGAUUGGUAAAAUAUCUUCUGAAAUUUUUAAUUAUCAAUGACGUCUACGUAGGAAUAGUUUCAUCUCAUGCAGACACAAUUCUGUUUAAAACUGCAGUGUACUUUGAAUUGAACCUAAACAUUUUUACAAAUCCAUUACAUUGGUUGGACAGAUCCUAGUUUUUAUUAAAACUCACCUUUUUGUUUUGUUUAGAAUAUCACUGCAAACUGAAUUGUUUCUUCCAUUUUCUAACUAGAGUUACUAUCACUUCUAUAAUCAGCUUGGUGUGAGCAAAAUAAACAAUUUGAAAAACUGGCAUUAUUGAAUUAUUAAAAAGGGAAUUGUAUCUUAUUUAUAGCUAUUUACGUAAUCUGUUAGCUUUUUCAUUGACCGGAUGUGUGAGGUAAAUGAGAUGUUAUGAAAUUCUUUCUAAAGUUAGACUGUGAAUUAUGCCAAUCAGAGAAUGAGAGAUGAUUUUUUUAAUCUGCUGUGGUCUUUUCAACAAUUCCAUUUGGUUUAGAUUGUGAAUUAAGACAGUCAGCUGGAACAAAGUAUUUUAAUAUAGAUUAUCAAAACAGGAGUUCUGAAGAGCUCAAAGGAAACUUAUCUUCUUUUAAAAAAAAAAAAAAAAAGUAUUGUUUGCGUUGGAAGAUGGAAAUUGACCGGCAUACAAUUAGUACAUUUUGGAAGCCCAGAACAAGAAUGACCAAAGUUAUAGAAAUACAACAUGUUUAAAAGUAUUCUUCAGACAUAAGGCCUAGAUUAUCAAGAAAAAAUACUUUUAAUGGAAUCACCAAAGGGAGAAAUCAGGCACAAUUCCUUUUCUAUUGAGAUGUAUUUUGGAAUAGUUUACAUGAGUAAUUCAUAUGGAUAUUAGGAACUUAACUUUUGAUAUGCAGACAGGAUGACUGUACUGUAUGUUCAGAGUAGGGUGUGACCACUGGCUUCCCAGCAUGAAAAAGUACAUUAUUAGGUUGUGUGACUGCAAAGAAGCCAACAUGGUUCAGAACAGUAAUUCUCAAUUUUCUUUUAAAUAAGUGCAUGUGAUGACUCAAAUAUCCUGCUUAGUCAUUUAGGCACUAUGGUUCCACAGCCGUAAUCAGGUAUAGAUCAUCCUUCACAAAAGAACAAGACCUGUCCCCCCGCCCCUUAGUGCUGGAAAUGCUGCAAUAUAGGUUUUUCAGGUAAAAAUUAGGGACAGAGGAAACUUAUUACCAUUAUGCAAAUCCAAAUAACUUCCUCUGCAGAUGCAGAGGGCCCUUUCCAGCCACACAUGUUGUUCCACUGGAUACAGGAAAGGGUGUGUAUCCCAUGCAAUCUGCUUGGGUGAAGGCAAGGCUGAAGGAUCCACUGCUAUGCUGCUAUCCUCCCCCUUUGGGUUUUGGUGAGAACGUAAAGCCUUUGUGAGGCUAUGCAUCAUUGGGCUGAGUCUGCAGAGAGGAUCUGCUGGGGGUCACACAACUUAAGUGUGGAGGAUCCUGUGCCACACACACAUCUGCCUAGUGCCCUGCCUGGCUGCUCUUAAUCAGUGCUGAGUGCAGGAUUUGAGCCUUCGUUAUCCAUAUAUCUUUGUUCAUUUAACAAUUAUCAGUGACAAGGUAGUCACAUUUUUAGGUAUCUUGUAUUCGAUAAUCCUGGCUCCAUUAAAAUGCAUGGUAAAUCUCCCAUUGACUUCAGGGGCCAGGAUUUGUAUCGCUUGAGGAUAAUAUUAACUGUGUCAUCCUUUUCAUUAUGAAAUUCCCCAAUAUAAUACAAGAUGUUUUUAAAAGGAAUCUAAUUUUGGAGUAAAAACUAAUUUUUUCACUCCUUUCCACUCCAAAAAAAAAAAUGGCAAUAUUAAAUUUUUAUCCAAUUACUUUUAGUCCGUAAACAUCUUAUGCUGCCUGCUGUGUAAUUUUUGUGUACACGCUUCUGUGGGGCCUCAUUUUUUUUAGUCAGAUAAUAACACCAGUAAAAUCAGAAAAACAGUUUUUGGAGACAUAUGUUUUGUUAACCUGGUUUUUACAUUUUCCUGAUCAGAGUCUCAAGAUCACACCCUUAGUGAUCUUGGGACAAAUUGGGGGAAAUUUAUUGUACACACAAAUGUCCCUUACUCCCAGCAAAUAAAGGUAAAGAAUGCAAAAUGGUGAUAUAAAUUGGGGUUUAAGUAUUUAGAUAUAAAUUUCAUGUUGAUUUCCCUGGAAUACAGAAAUUUUGAAGAGUAUAAUUUUUCUGGUUUGGGAGUUAUAAUUUGAAAGAGCACAAAGUUGAUACGUGAUUCUGUUACUAACAGUGUAUUUGGUAUUCCGGUGUACAAACUGCACUGUACUGUACCUUUUGUAAACUAUGUAAGUAGACAAAAAGAUUGUACAACAUGUAGAAUCUGCCAGCUGUAAGAAUACCCUAUUUUGUAAGUUCAGGAGUAUUGAUUUUUUUAAAAAAAAGCCCAGAACACCGAAGUGUGAAAUGUUCUAGUGAUCACCAUUUAAGCAGUCAGCUUUUACCAACUGUUAGCACACAGCUAAUAUGGCAUUUUCCUAGUACUUACAAUAUGAAAUUAACUGUGUGGAAACUGCUGAUUUGAAGACCUCUGUAUAUGUAAUUGAUAAUUCAUAUGGAAGAGAAACUGCUGAAUUUGAAAAAAUGUAAACAGUGUAUCAGAUAUCUUUGUGAAGACAUUGCCUAAACUCUCAUUCCUUUUCAGCAUAUAACAGUUCAGUUAAGUUUACAUGUUAAAUUCUAAAUGGUGAAUAAUUUAAAUGGCACUUAAUUUAAGUUGCAGAAACAACAAUUGUUUUGAUUGUGGAAUUAAUUUUGCAUAUGUUUGUUGUCUGACAGUUCUACAAUACCCAAUGACUCACUAUUUCUAUGGUGACUUCAUCAUAUGUAUUAUCCAUUUCAAUCCAUUAAAUUGUUUUUGAUUUGUACAUAUUCCAUUUAGUCUUUUCCACCUUUAUAUAAAUCUCUGAUGUAAUGAGACACAUAACAGAUCAAGAUGCUUAAUUUUUAAGAACUAUAUUUGUAAAAAUUUCUCUAUUGUGAAUAAAGUCUUUUAAUA